rnacentral:rRNA from 1 species
CAAUAGCGUAUAUUAAAGUUGUUGCAGUUAAAAAGCUCGUAGUUGAACCUUGGGUUUGGUUGGCCGGUCCGCUUUUUUGCGAGUACUGGAUUCAACCGAGCCUUUCCUUCUGGCUAACCAGUCGUUUCGGCGGCUGGCGAACCAGGAUUUUUACUUUGAGAAAAUUAGAGUGUUCAAAGCAGGCAUUAGCUUGAAUAUAUUAGCAUGGAAUAAUAGAAUAGGACGUUAUGGUUCUAUUUUGUUGGUUUCUAGGACCAUCGUAAUGAUUAAUAGGGACGGUCGGGGGCAUCAGUAUUCAGUUGUCAGAGGUGAAAUUCUUGGAUUUACUGAAGACUAACUACUGCGAAAGCAUUUGCCAAGGACGUUUUCAUUAA